rnacentral:tRNA from 1 species
AAGGAUUUAAGUUAAAAAUAAACUUUUAACCUUCAAAGUUAACAAUAGAAAAUUUUCUAAGCCUUA